rnacentral:lncRNA from 1 species
AAGUUUCACAAAUCAGGUGUUAAAUUAUAAUAAUAAUAAUAAUAAAAUAUAUACUCUUCUCUCCUCAAUAACUUUCAUGUAUCUAUUACUCACCUAUCAAUUUCUCUCCCAUUCCCAAAUCUACCAUUACCGCAACCACACCAUAUGUCCAUUUUCUUCAUCCACCACCACCAUGAAUGCCUUCUCCACCAUCAAUCUUUGUCCCAUCUCUCCCAAAACUUUCAUAAAGGCCAAAAUCUUCAAAAAGGCCAAAUUAUCACAUGUGCUUCAGAAAAUACUUCCUUUCUCUUUUAAAGCAACAAGUGCUCGGUCCUAAUACUUACGCCAUCAAUUUGACAUUGAUGAUUGUUGUACGAAAGAGAUCACCUAGGUGUUUUUCGGGCUCAGUUCCUCCAAUAAUCGACACCACUUUGAAAAACAAUCCAAACUCCCUUCAACCACUCCUUCACUUACAGUUGCUUUUUGUUCACCCACUUAGAAAUCACAAAGGAAGUUAUAAUCACAAUGAUGAAGUAACCACACAGGCAAUAGAGUGAAUGAAAACAGUAGGCAGAGACACAAAGAGAAAGUCACCCGUUUUCAAACACAAACACACACACCUCGAGAAGAGAGGCAGAGAAUGAAUUCAUAUAUCCAAGUGAAGGGGACGACCAAGUUAAGUGGGGGAAUUAGGGUAUAGUAAUGGUUCAAGGCCCAAUAACCAAAUAAAUGGGCUAUUAAGUGGGUUUCCAUUUAUUAACCGUCCAAAUAAUUGGAAACGGGCUAUGAGCAGCACUAAUUAAAUUAGGCUGCUUCAAAAUGGUCCAAACAAUUUUAGGUUAGGUCAUUUUAUUGAUUUGUCAAUUUACCGUUUGGUCAUUUGGUCGAUGUCGACUGAAAAAAUAUACUAAGUUACAUCACAGUUCGAGAGGUCGUUUGAUAACAAUUUGCUCAACAAACCUCUACUUUGGUGUCAAAAGAUCUGUAAAGAAAAUAUUAUCACUUGUUAGUAAUACUUCAAUAUAGUGAACAGAUAAAAUUGAAAAUUAGUUACCUCCACCAAUAUUUAAAAGAUCUCCUCAACUUCUAACACUAACGGUAGCGCCUUUGCUCACGUCAGAAGGAUUAUAAUGUGUAUGUACCUUUUCAUUUCUUUCAACUUCUUGUGACACAAUAUCUCUAAUAAAGUGUUUCUGAUUCGAUCAUGGAUAGUGCAACUACAUGUUGCAACUGUGACUUCCAAUUCAUGCAAGAGUUAGACAAAGUAAACACAUAGGAUGAAGUGAAUUUUCUAUUAUCUCUAUCCCCACAAAGUCUGCAUCUACAAAACCUUUCAAUUUCACACCUUCUUUAUUAGUACUAAACUUUAAACCUACAUCACUAGUUUUCUUUAAAUAACUUAACAUUCAUUUUAAGGCUUCCCAAUGCUCGGGACCCAGAUUAGACAUGUACCUACUAAAGGUAUUAAUAGAAAAGGCUAGAUUCGAUCUAAUUCAAACAAUCAAAUACAUAGUACAACCAUCACAUUAGAGUGUGGGAUCCUAUUUAAGUAUUCUAUUUCUUUUUCAAUACACGACGCUUGGUCUUUAAAUAAUACAAAAUGAUUAGCUAAAUGUAAUGUAAUAGAUUUGCAAUCAUGUAUGUCAAAUCAUUUCAACACUUUUCGAAACAUAAGAUGACUGAUGCAGAAACAAAGCAGAGUUUGACCUAGUUUUUUCAAUUUUCAUACAUAGGGUUUUCUUUGCUUUAUGUAAAUCUUUCGUAUCAAAUUCAUCAUUCAACUUUAUUUUUAUCUUACUUAUCCAUUUCGGUGAUGAACCAAUUAAGAGUAUAUCAUCCACAUACAACAAUAAAAACACAUAGUCAUUGUUGGUAUCAUUAUAUUGAAAAUACAGGCAAUGAUCAAACUUACUCAUUUGUAACACUAUAAUGAGCGCAAAAAAAUCAAAUCUUUUAUACCACUAUCUAGGCGAUUGUUUUAGGCCAUAUAAGGAUUUUUUUCAAGAAACACACGUGAUCAAGUUUUAGUUUAUCUCUAAAAUCUCUUGGUUGAUUCAUAAAUAUUUGCUCAUCGUGUUCACCAUGUGUAAAAAAGUAGUUUUUAUAUCAAGUUGUUCAAAAUUUCAGUCAAAGUGUAUAACAAACUCAAGCAUGACCCUAAUAGUAGUGUGCUCAACAACUGGUGAAAAAAUCUUGUUAUAAUCAACACUUUCCUUCCGUGUGUAUCCCUUGGCAACAACCUAGCUUUAAAUCUUAAGGAAAUUCCUUUCUAAGGAACUCAUCUCCUCUUUUAUUGUCUUAAACCAUUCUUCUGAUUUUUCACUUCUCAUUGUCUUCUGAAAAGUUUUUGGCUCUGUAUCAUCUUCACAGCUAUCGUGAGCAAAAGCUAACUCGAAUUCAUAUCCGAACCUCCCAUUCUACCUCGUUUGUCUCCUUUCUCUAUCCACUGCUAAGUUAUAGUCUGCUAAAUGAUUUUCUACUUCAGGAUACUCUUCUAUCACUACUAUAUUCUCUACUUCAGGUUGCUGAACCCGAGUCUCUACAUCAUUAGGGAUGGUAGAUAUAGAUGUGCUAAGUUUUCUAACUCCAUCUUCAACUGAUUCCUUUCCUCACCUUUCUCGUCUUCACUCAGAGGUUCAGAGUUAGUCUUAAGCCAAGGCAUCUCAACCUCAUUAAACAUGACUUCUCCUCACAAUGAUCUUAGUCCCCAUUUGGCCCCUAUCCCAUAGCCUGUAACCCUUAAUACCCUCUGAGUAACCUAAGAAAACAAAUUUCUUGGCUCUAGGUUCAAACUUUCCUUCACUCCGAUGGAAAAACAGCACAGCCAAAAGUUUUAAGCAUAGAUUAAUCACAUAGUUUACCUAUGAGUAAUAUCACCAUUCAAUGUAAAAGAUGGAGUCAAAUUAAUCAAAUAAUAAGCAGUCAUAGCGACUUUCCCUCAAAUGACUUUGGGACACCGGAACUUAACAUCGCACUUUAUCAAGUAUAGUUCUAUUUAUCCUCUUAGCUACCCCGUUUUGUUGGGGAUUGUAAGGAACAGACUUAUAUCUUGUUAUUCCAUUUUCUUUACACAUAUUAUUAAACUCAUUGUUGCAAAACUCUAGUCCAUUAUCAGUUCUAAAAAUCUGAUCAUUUUGCAAGUUUGGUUAUCAACUCGUCUUUUUCAAUUAUUAAAACCGUGAAAAGUAUGAGACUUGUCUUUUAAAAGAUAAACCCAUACCUUUCCACACCUUUCUCAUAUAAUCAUCAAUAAUAGACAAGAAAUACCUAUUUUCACUCGAGGUGAGAUUACUAGCAGCACCUUACAAGUCUGAAUGCACAUUCUUUAGUUUUUAUAAAUACUCGUGGAGAAGGAAGAUCUAUAGUGUUUACCAAGCACACGGUAAUCAUCAAAUGACAAAUUAGGCACAUAAUCGUUACCAAAAAGUACCAUUUUCAUUGAAGAGUUUGAGACCUUUAAUAUCUACAUGCGCAAGUUUAUUGUGCCAUUUAUGUAUGUGAUUGGUGUAGUAAUAUAAAUAUCAUUUCUCCUAGUUCCCUUAAUGGAAACAAGAGCAUCUUUAACCAAUUUUAAAAUUUCAUUUCCAAUUUUACCUGUAAAGUCAGCCUUUUCAAAUUUCUCCAUUGAAAUUAAGUUUUUAGAUAAUUCAGGAAUGUAUUUAACAUCUUUUAAAAUAUAAAUAAAACUAAUGUUGAACUUUAAUGUAAUCUUACCAAUCCCAACAACAGUAUAAGCAAAAUUAUCACAUAACACAACAUGUCCAUCAUUUGAUUCAUGCAAGUUUUCAAAUUAAUCUUUUUGUGAUGUUAAAUGAAAAGAUGCAUCAGAAUUAAGUAUCCACUCAUGCAAACGAGAAUUGAUAGUUAUAUUCAAUUCAUCAAGAUAAGCAUUAGGACUUGUAAUCGUAAACAGAAUUAAGUAGAAGAAAAUACAUUUACUUCAUCUCUCUUUUUACCCUUUAGCUUACCCUUCUUUCUAAAGAAUUCUUUUAUAAAAUGCCUUGUGUUCCCAUAACCACAACAUUUUCUAACCUUAGUCCUAGAUUUUGAUCUAGACACAUCAUUUUCUUUCUUUUUACUUUCAUUACUAUUUGAAUGGCCACCACCAUGUCAGUUUCUAUCCUUUCCAUGUGGAUCUUACCACAUUUCUUAUCAAGUUUUUCAACUUUAUUCUACAUCUCUUUACUUCUACGAAAGUCAAUGACAUUUUUAGGCAUCAAAGUGUCCCUAUCAUAUUUGAUCGCAUUUUUAACUUCCUUAUAAGUGUCGUGCAUGAAAUUAAGCAAGAUUAUAGCUUUAUAGAUUUUCGAUACCGUCUCAUCAUAGUUAACGAUAUCUUCGAGAAAUUUGUUAAAACUGAAAAACACUCAAAUAAGUAAAGUUUGUUUGGAGUAAAUUUGAGCGAAUACAAGCCUUUUAAUUUUUUCCAAAGUUCUUUUGUGGUUUUUAGUUUUCCCACUUCCCUCAAAAUAGCGUUAGACAAGUGUAAAAUGAUUAAAGUAUAAACAAGUUCAUCGACUUCUUCUUUUUGUUCUUUUAAAAAAUCAGCAAGAAAAUUGCAUUCAAUUGUUUUUGUAACCUUUUGUUAGACCAAAAUGCCUCUCAUAUUUUGUUGCCAUAUAGAAAAACUAUAUUUUUCGUUAAAAAUUCUCAAAUCAAAAUUGGGAGUCGUUAUUUUACGAAUCAAUUCAAAAUGUACAAAAUCACAAUCAAGCCACACAGAAGUAGUCUUAAGAUCAAAGAUAAUAUACACCGUUCUAGAUUCUCAGCGUCUCGUGAGAUUUGCAAUCUCAGAUUAAGAGAGUGUUUGAACAGGUAAGGUCUAGUUAUUCUAACGAAAUUAACUAGGUAACAACGAAGUAUGUUAAUCAAAAAUAAUUUCAACUAAAGCAAUUCUAAACAAAAUAUACCUCAAAGGUAAUAGAUGGAUUUCAUCAAAAUAAAAUACUCUAAUUUCUAGCACAAGCAAUGGUUAUCUCACAUUGUAACCCCAAAUCCUAUUAUUACUCUACAUGAUGAUGCGCUAGUGCUGAUAUUUAAUCGGGACAAGCCAAUUUACCAAAGUGGACCAUGUCUGAAGUUCUUAAAAUCGAGAUAUGUGAAUCUAAAGCUUUAGGACCACCACUAUUCGCCCUAAAAUUUCACCAAAUGUUCCAAUGCAAAUGACCAAUAAUUGCAGAUUGAGCUUUCAGGGACAAAAUCAUUCAAUUUUUUUCGUACAACCUGAAACACGAAAUUAAAAAUAUCAAUAUGUUCAGAAAAUUAGUAUGAGCAGCCUAUCUGAAAAAAACUUCACCAGAGUCGUCGUUACAUGCCUCGCCAGAGAUGCAUGCAUGCCGCCGUUGCGUCCCACGCAAGGAGGAGCACCUCCACCUGCUAAAGCUGGGUCUAGUCUUGGUUUGUUCGGAAUCCCAGCUUUCAGGUUCGAUCACUUCGAAAAAUGGCAUGAUUUUAGACGAUUUUUAGUUAAUUUCUGACUUGAUAUGCCCACACGAGGCUUUGAUGUCAAAUCUUGUGCGAAAGAGAAGAUCGUUAAGGCGUUUUUGGGCUCAAAUUCUCCAAUAAUCGACACCACUAUGAAAAAACCCAAACUCCCUUCAACCACCCCAUUUACGGUUGCUUUUUGUUCACCCACUUAAAACCCACAAAUGAAGCUAUAAUCACAACGAGGAAGUAACCACAAAGGUAGUAGAGUGAAUGAAAACAGUGGGCAAAGACACAAAGAGAGAGCCACCCACUUUCACACACACAUUGAGAAGAGAGG